GUUGAAAGUCGUGAGGUUGGAGAAUGGACGGUUAGUACAAUUACUUAUUCUUUCAAAUUAAUGGUUAUAAAUAAAUUUAUUAUUAAGUGAUUCACUUUGUUUGUUUCAUUUGGGACAAGGUGCUAGACCAAAAGUUAGGGAUAUUCAGGCAUAUAAUCUUACCUCGCACUUGUUGUCUCGUGGGAGUUAUCAUAAGCUUUAAAAAGAUAUUAUAAGGGAGAAGAAGAAGAAGAAAGCACAACUUGUUACUACUUUCGAGGA
rnacentral:lncRNA from 1 species